rnacentral:rRNA from 1 species
GACGAACGCUGGCGGCAUGCCUAAUAUAUGCAAGUCGAGCGGAGUUGACGAGAAGCUUGCUUCUCUGAUACUUAGUGGCGGACGGGUGAGUAACACGUAGGCAACCUGCCUUUCAGUUUGGGAUAACUUCCGGAAACGGAUGCUAAUACCGAAUACAUCAUCUUCUGGCAUCAGAGAAUGAGGAAAGACGGCGCAAGCUGUCACUGAGAGAUGGGCCUGCGGCGCAUUAGCUAGUUGGUGGGGUAAUGGCUCACCAAGGCGACGACGCGUAGGCGACCGGAGAGGGUGAACGGCCACACUGGGACUGAGACACGGCCCAGACUCCUACGGGAGGCAGCAGUAGGGAAUCUUCCACAAUGGGCGAAAGCCUGAUGGAGCAAUGCCGCGUGAGUGAUGAAGGUUUUCGGAUCGUAAAGCUCUGUUGCCAGGGAAGAACGUCCGGGUGAGUAACUGCACCCGGAGUGACGGUACCUGAGAAGAAAGCCCCGGCUAACUACGUGCCAGCCGCCGCCGUAA